CCUUCGUAUAGAACUGGCUUUCAACUACACUGACUGAGAUCGCACAAAUAGAUUAUUGCGACGGUAGGGGCUGAAACAAGAAGCGAUGCAGUUAAACGAAGUGGCCUGGCUGUCACAGUGAAACUGUUCUAUUCAAACCACUUUGACACGUUUCACUUGAAAACCAUCGAACUUAAUACAGGAACAUUUGUAGUGAAUGUGACACAGACGUCCUAUCAGGCAGAGGAGAACCACAACAUCACACUGGAGUGGACGUUCACAACCACAGCUGACACUCCCACAGACUUCAUUUUUAUCUUCUGUGAGAUGAAAAGUAAUCAGACAGUCUCAGCUCUGUUUCAUCUAUCUGGAGGUGUUGUGAUCCCAGAGAUUCAGGAUCAACAGUUUGUAGGACGAGUCCAGUGGGACAAAGACGUCCUCAGAGACGGACGACUCAGACUUCAUGUGUCCAGACUCAGGACUGAGGACUCAGGACAGUACCUGUGUAAUGUGAAGACAAACUAUGGUGUGGACUUUGGUGAUUGUCGGCUCAGCGUCUCUGCAGCGAGGAAUCGACCAGAACCUGAGAGACCCGACACAGAUUCACCUGAGAGACCCGACACGGUCAACUGGGGAAUGAUCGUCCUCUACUGUGGACUGACAGCAGCAGCAGCGGUUGUUGUGUUGUUUGUUCGUUUCCUUUUAUUUUUUCACUGUUCAUCUGAGAAACAGAAGUCCUGCAGAGGAUUCAGGAAAAGUUCCAUCUCAGCAGGACGAGAGAAAAAACACUUAUCAGCACUGUAAAUGAGACGGUAAAAUCACAUCGUGCCUUCAUGUUGGUCAGUAAGUGUCCUGAUAUCAGAGUCAGAGCAGAUCAACAGUGAUGGAGUUGAUGGAGGAAACGUUGUUCUUCACCUUCAGAUCUGAAAACUGCUCUGUGAGAAACAUGUUGAUGUUACAACUGUAUAUAUGUUACAUGUAUAAACUGUCUGGUCAAAAGAAACAUCAACACCUGGAGUUAACUGAGUAAACAGGUCAGAAACAUCCAUCAGAUCAUCACUGCACUGAACUCAAGAUGUUGGUGAGAAAUUAAAGCAACUCUGGACAGAAAGAAAUGUUGUGACGUGGAUCAGCUGAUCAGAACGAUGCCACAGAGAAACUGGCUGGAAUCAAAGCUAAAGAUGGUUCAACCAAAUAUUACAGAGAGUGACUUUUUUUUUGGCCAGACAGAAUGUUAGAUUUAUAUUUUUCUACAUGAUGUAUUUAUUUAAUAGGUAAAUAUGACAUCAUGAUUCAUCUCCCAUCUACUGGACUCCUGCAGGUCAUGAAGCUUCAGCUGAACUGACCAGCUUGUUGUAUGAUGUUACAGGACAUACAGGAAGUGAUGUCAUCAUAUAUUUUUAUAUCAGGAAAUUGUACAUAAAUCCAUUAAUAUGAGAGAAGUUGUUUUGUAUUAACAUGGUAUCAUUUAUAGAUGCUAUUUGUGAGAAAAGUUGAUUUUUGAGUCUGAAACUGAUGCUUUGUUAUUGUAGGACAGUUUGCAGCCAUACGUCAAACAUCAUCUAUUUUUAUAUAAACAUGAAAAAAACAUGUUUUUAUAUAAAAAGUAUAUUGUAUGACACAUGAAACCUCUUUAUAUACUGUUUCUGUUAUGUUUUUUGUUCCAUGUAUUUCAUCAUGUUCACUUUGUUCUGUUUGAAAAGCUGUGAUUUGUUAAAGAUAAAGGAUUUCUGCUUUAUUCA